rnacentral:rRNA from 1 species
CAGUCGCCACGGGAAUACAGAGGGUGCAAGCGUUAAUCGGAAUUACUGGGCGUAAAGCGCGCGUAGGUGGUUUGUUAAGUUGAAUGUGAAAUCCCCGGGCUCAACCUGGGAACUGCAUCCAAAACUGGCAAGCUAGAGUAGGGCAGAGGGUGGUGGAAUUUCCUGUGUAGCGGUGAAAUGCGUAGAUAUAGGAAGGAACACCAGUGGCGAAGGCGACCACCUGGGCUCAUACUGACACUGAGGUGCGAAAGCGUGGGGAGCAAACAGGAUUAGAGACCCCCGUAGUCCCUGUCUCUUAUAC